rnacentral:rRNA from 1 species
CCAGACUCCUACGGGAGGCAGCAGUGAGGAAUAUUGGUCAAUGGCCGAGAGGCUGAACCAGCCAAGUCGCGUGAGGGAGGACGGCCCUACGGGUUGUAAACCUCUUUUGUCAGGGAGCAAGGGACAGGUCGUGACCUGUUGUGAGAGUACCUGAAGAAAAAGCAUCGGCUAACUCCGUGCCAGCAGCCGCGGUAAUACGGAGGAUGCGAGCGUUAUCCGGAUUUAUUGGGUUUAAAGGGUGCGUAGGCGGACAGUCAAGUCAGCGGUAAAAAUGCGGUGCUCAACGCCGUACAGCCGUUGAAACUGGCAGUCUUGAGUGGGCGAGAAGUAUGCGGAAUGCGUGGUGUAGCGGUGAAAUGCAUAGAUAUCACGCAGAACUCCGAUUGCGAAGGCAGCAUACCGGCGCCCGACUGACGCUGAGGCACGAAAGCGUGGGUAUCGAACAGGAUUAGAUACCCCAGUAGG